rnacentral:tRNA from 1 species
AGGCGUGGUUCAAUGGUAGAACAGUGGUCUCCAAAACCAUUAACGAGGGUUCGAUUCCUUCCGCCUC